AUUGAACGCUGGCGGCAGGCCUAACACAUGCAAGUCGAACGAGUGGCGGACGGGUGAGUAAUGUCUGGGAAACUGCCUGAUGGAGGGGGAUAACUACUGGAAACGGUAGCUAAUACCGCAUACCAUCAGAUGUGCCCAGAUGGGAUUAGCUAGUGGGUGGGGUAACGGCUCACCUAGGCGACGAUCCCUAGCUGGUCUUAGAGGAUGACCACCCAGACUGAGUCUGAGAAACGGUGCAGACUCCUCGGGGGGGCAGCAUUGGGGAAUAUUGAACGAUGGGCGCAAGCCGGAUCGAGCCAUGCCGCGUGUAGGAAGAAGGCCUUCGUGUUGUAAAGUACUUUCAGCGGGGAGGCGUUACCAGCAGAAGAAGCACCGGCUAACUUCGUGCCAGCAGCCGCGGUAAUUC
rnacentral:rRNA from 1 species